ACGUAUCUCUGGCGGGGCGCGAGCCCGGCUCCGGUCCGAAAGGCCGUGCAGCGGGCCCGCGUCUCUGUCAAAACCCUUGCAAACCCUCUGUGCACUUUAACGGUGGAGGGAGCCCGGGCGAGAGCUCGGGAUCCCGAACCCGUACCCACCAAACUCGUAUCGAAAAAGAAUGAACUGCGGCCUCUGCGUCGCCUAACAAACGAAA
rnacentral:misc_RNA from 1 species